rnacentral:rRNA from 1 species
UGGGGAAUAUUGGACAAUGGGCGAAAGCCUGAUCCAGCCAUGCCGCGUGUGUGAAGAAGGUCUUCGGAUUGUAAAGCACUUUAAGUUGGGAGGAAGGGCAGUAAGCGAAUACCUUGCUGUUUUGACGUUACCGACAGAAUAAGCACCGGCUAACUCUGUGCCAGCAGCCGCGGUAAUACAGAGGGUGCAAGCGUUAAUCGGAAUUACUGGGCGUAAAGCGCGCGUAGGUGGUUCGUUAAGUUGAAUGUGAAAGCCCCGGGCUCAACCUACGAACUGCCUCCAAAACUGGCGAGCUAGAGUAGGGCCGAGGGGGGUGGGAUUUCCUGUGUAGCGGUGACAUGCGUAGAAAUAGGAAAGAAAACCAGUGGCGAAGGCGACCACCUGGGCUCAUACUGACACUGAGGUGCGAAAGCGUGGGGAGCAAACAGG